AAGUCGUAACAAGGUUUCCGUAGGUGAACCUGCGGAAGGAUCAUUAAAAAUCUAACAAGCACGCUUGGGGAGGGGGCGAUGUGCACGGACACAUCUGGGUUGGGCGACGACUUGGCGCGGGGUGUUUUGGGUGACGCUAUGGGCGACGGCUUGGGAGACUGGCGAGUUGCAGGCUUACACCUGCUUCUCAAAACACAUGUUGGUUGACCAUUAAAUCACCAGUACAACUUUUAACAAUGGAUCUCUAGGCUCUU
rnacentral:misc_RNA from 1 species